rnacentral:rRNA from 1 species
GAUGAACGCUGGCGGCGUGCUUAACACAUGCAAGUCGAACGAAGCACCUUGAUUUGAUUCUUCGGAUGAAGAUCUUGGUGACUGAGUGGCGGACGGGUGAGUAACGCGUGGGUGACCUGCCUCAUACAGGGGGAUAACAGUUAGAAAUGACUGCUAAUACCGCAUAAGACCACAGUACCGCAUGGUACAGGGGUAAAAACUCCGGUGGUAUGAGAUGGACCCGCGUCUGAUUAGGUAGUUGGUGGGGUAACGGCCUACCAAGCCGACGAGCAGUAGCCGAGCUGAGAGGGUGACCGGCCACAUUGGGACUGAGACACGGCCCAAACUCCUACGGGAGGCAGCAGUGGGGAAUAUUGCACAAUGGGGGAAACCCUGAUGCAGCGACGCCGCGUGAACGAUGAAGUAUUUCGGUAUGUAAAGCUCUAUCAGCAGGGAAGAAAAUGACGGUACCUGACUAAGAAGCACCGGCUAAAUACGUGCCAGCCGCCGCAGUAAUAC